GAUAGCGAUGCCUGUAACCUCCUGGUAGUGGGCUGCCCAGAGCCUGGAGGAAUUUAUUACGGAGGGCAGUGGAGUGAGAUCAUGGCUAUCGCCGUGGCUCGCCACAUGGAAUCAGUUACGGGGAGUGGAGCGGCGUCCGCUGUCGUGACUCGUCAGGGAGUGGUGGAAUCGCACAGGAUCCGCCGCAGGGAGUGGAGCA
rnacentral:lncRNA from 1 species